AUUCUCAAAAAUUUAAUAACUAGGAUUGAUAUUUCCCUACAAUUUGCAUGUAUUCUUCCUCACAAGGAUUCAUGCAUUAUUGACUUGCGAUUUCUUUUCUUCCUGUAGCAAUUCCUCUGAAAUCGGAAUUAGCUUAUGAGAUUUUUGAUAAGGGGCGGGUUCGCUUCUGGCUCCAGGCUGAGCACUUAUCACCAGAUGCCAGCUACCGAUUUAUUAUUAACGACAGAGAAGUCUCUGACAGCGAGAUACACAGAAUUAAAUGUGACAAAGCUACUGGCAUUAUUGAGAUGGUGAUGGAUCGAUUUAGUAUUGAAAAUGAGGGGACCUACACUGUGCAGAUUCAUGAUGGGAAAGCCAAAAGUCAGUCUUCUCUAGUUCUUAUUGGAGAUGCAUUCAAGACUGUGCUGGAAGAGGCUGAGUUUCAAAGGAAAGAAUUUCUCAGGAAACAAGGCCCUCAUUUUGCUGAGUACUUGCACUGGGAUGUCACCGAAGAAUGUGAAGUUCGACUUGUUUGCAAGGUUGCAAACACCAAGAAAGAAACCGUUUUCAAAUGGCUCAAGGAUGAUGUUCUGUAUGAAACGGAGACACUGCCUAACCUGGAGAGGGAAUCUGUGAGCUGCUCAUCCCAAAGUUGUCAAAGAAGGACCACGGUGAAUACAAGGCAACCUUGAAAGAUGACAGAGGGCAAGAUGUGUCCGUCCUUGAAAUAGCUGGCAAAGUGUAUGAUGAUAUGAUUUUGGCAAUGAGUAGAGUCUGUGGGAAAUCUGCUUCGCCACUGAAGGUACUCUGCACCCCAGAAGGAAUACG
rnacentral:sRNA from 1 species